rnacentral:rRNA from 1 species
AACGAACGCUGGCGGCAUGCCUAACACAUGCAAGUCGAACGAUUGCCUUCGGGUGAUAGUGGCGCACGGGUGCGUAACGCGUGGGAAUCUGCCCUUAGGUUCGGAAUAACAGCUGGAAACGGCUGCUAAUACCGGAGGAUAUCGCGAGAUCAAAGAUUUAUCGCCUGAGGAUGAGCCCGCGUUGGAUUAGGUAGUUGGUGGGGUAAAGGCCUACCAAGCCGACGAUCCAUAGCUGGUCUGAGAGGAUGAUCAGCCACACUGGGACUGAGACACGGCCCAGACUCCUACGGGAGGCAGCAGUGGGGAAUAUUGGACACUGGGCGCAAGCCUGAUCCAGCAAUGCCGGGUGAGUGAUGAAGGCCGUAGGGCUGUAAAGCUCUUUUACCCGGGAAGAUAAUGACUGUACCGGGAGAAUAAGCCCCGGCUAACUCCGUG